AAACUGUAUUUCAUCCAUGAUUUGUGGAGCUCAUAUUGACACCAGAGUGUGCCAAGUUUCCCAAGUUUCCAUCAGUCUUCAUGAUAUCAGCCUGAGAAUUUUUCUUCACUGAAAGAACUUCUCCAACUCCACUAGUGAAAAUCCUGUCUGGCCAAUGGCCACCGACUCUGAGAGUCUUUGUGGGAACCCAGCAGCUGAAUGUAGAGACCUGCCUGACACUCUCAUUGCAGAACGUUCCACGUCCUAGCUAGGUGUACCCGUUCUUUAGCUCCUCUAAAAGCACUGCCUAUUGCUGGAGGCAAAAGACCAAGCCCCCAGAAUAACAGGAGCCCUGAAAAUAGCUUCCAUUCAGUGUGCCCCCUGAGGACAGACACCACCUUGCCUCACCACUGUGUCUUCAGGUUGCUGUGGGGUGCCUCGCACCCGAGAGAUGCUCAAUAACUGUUUGUGGAAUGAAUAGAAUCCAAAAAGAGUUGAACAUAAAUGUGCAGGACUUGCUAAUUCUUCUGUGUGCAGGCAACACUGGGGCUUCAGGGGGAUGCUGGUGCCCAGCAACAACUUGUGUGUGGCCCUGGGGUCUGUUUCCAGGACGGCGGGAUCCCCUGGUCUGUAUUUUGUGAAAAGAUGAGUUCCCUGGAUCCAUUUGACUGGGUUUCAU
rnacentral:lncRNA from 10 species